UACGUAGGGUGCGAGCGUUCGUCCGGAAUUAUUGGGCGUAAAGAGCUCGUAGGCGGUUCGUCGCGUCGGCUGUGAAAACCCGGAGCUCAACUCCGGGCCUGCAGUCGAUACGGGCGGACUUGAGUGUUGCAGGGGAGACUGGAAUUCCUGGUGUAGCGGUGAAAUGCGCAGAUAUCAGGAGGAACACCGGUGGCGAAGGCGGGUCUCUGGGCCGAAACUGACGCUGAGGAGCGAAAGCGUGGGGAGCAAACAGG
rnacentral:rRNA from 1 species